GAUGAAGAACGUAGCAAAAUGCGAUACUUGGUGUGAAUUGCAGAAUCCCGUGAACCAUCGAGUUUUUGAACGCAAGUUGCGCCCGAAGCCUUUUGGCCGAGGGCACGUCUGCCUGGGCGUCACGCAUCGCGUCGCCCCCCACAACUCUCCGUAAAGGGAACUUGUGUUUUGGGGGCGGAUAUUGGUCUCCCGUGCUCAUGGCGUGGUUGGCCGAAAUAGGAGUCCCUCCGGUGGACGCACGAACUAGUGGUGGUCGUAAAAACCCUCGUCUUUUGUUUCGUGCCGUUAGUCGCGAGGGAAACUCUUUAAAAACCCAAAUGUGUCGUCUCUUGACGGCGCUUCGACCGCGACCCCAGGUCAGGCGGGACUACCCGCUGAGUUUAAGCAUAUCAAUAGGCGGAGGA
rnacentral:misc_RNA from 1 species